AUGCACGCUGGCGGCGUGCCUAAUCCAUGCAAGUCGCGCGAACAGACGAGGAGCUUGCUCCUCUGACGUUAGCGGCGGACGGGUGAGUAACACGUGGAUAACCUACCUAUAAGACUGGGAUAACUUCGGGAAACCGGAGCUAAUACCGGAUAAUAUAUUGAACCGCAUGGUUCAAUAGUGAAAGACGGUUUUGCUGUCACUUAUAGAUGGAUCCGCGCCGCAUUAGCUAGUUGGUAAGGUAACGGCUUACCAAGGCAACGAUGCGUAGCCGACCUGAGAGGGGGAUCGGCCACACUGGAACUGAGACACGGUCCAGGCUCCUACGGGAGGCAGCAGUAGGGAAUCUUCCGCAAUGGGCGAAAGCCUGACGGAGCAACGCCGCGUGAGUGAUGAAGGUCUUCGGAUCGUAAAACUCUGUUAUUAGGGAAGAACAAAUGUGUAAGUAACUAUGCACGUCUUGACGGUACCUAAUCAGAAAGCCACGGCUAACUACGUG
rnacentral:rRNA from 1 species